rnacentral:rRNA from 1 species
AUUAAAAACCAAUGCCCUUCGGGGCUCUCUGGUGAUUCAUAAUAACUUCUCGAAUCGCACGGCCUUGCGCCGGCGAUGGUUCAUUCAAAUUUCUGCCCUAUCAACUUUCGACGGCUGGGUCUUGGCCAGCCGUGGUGACAACGGGUAACGGAGGGUUAGGGCUCGACCCCGGAGAAGGAGCCUGAGAAACGGCUACUACAUCCAAGGAAGGCAGCAGGCGCGCAAAUUACCCAAUCCCGAUACGGGGAGGUAGUGACAAUAAAUACUGAUACGGGGCUCUUUUGGGUCUCGUAAUUGGAAUGAGAACAAUUUAAAUCCCUUAACGAGGAAUAAUUGGAGGGCAAGUCUGGUGCCAGCAGCCGCGGUAAUUCCAGCUCCAAUAGCGUAUAUUAAAGUUGUUGCAGUUAAAAAGCUCGUAGUUGAACCUUGGCUCUGGCUGGCCGGUCCGCCUCACCGCGAGUACUGGUCCGGCUGGAGCUUUCCUUCUGGGGAACCUCAUGGCCUUCACUGGCUGUGG